rnacentral:rRNA from 1 species
UGAGCCGCAUGGUUCAAAAGUAAAAGACGGUCUUGCUGUCACUUAUAGAUGGAUCCGCGCUGCAUUAGCUAGUUGGUAAGGUAACGGCUUACCAAGGCAACGAUGCAUAGCCGACCUGAGAGGGUGAUCGGCCACACUGGAACUGAGACACGGUCCAGACUCCUACGGGAGGCAGCAGUAGGGAAUCUUCCGCAAUGGGCGAAAGCCUGACGGAGCAACGCCGCGUGAGUGAUGAAGGUCUUCGGAUCGUAAAACUCUGUUAUUAGGGAAGAACAUAUGUGUAAGUAACUGUGCACAUCUUGACGGUACCUAAUCAGAAAGCCACGGCUAACUACGUGCCAGCAGCCGCGGUAAUACGUAGGUGGCAAGCGUUAUCCGGAAUUAUUGGGCGUAAAGCGCGCGUAGGCGGUUUUUUAAGUCUGAUGUGAAAGCCCACGGCUCAACCGUGGAGGGUCAUUGGAAACUGGAAAACUUGAGUGCAGAAGAGGAAAGUGGAAUUCCAUGUGUAGCGGUGAAAUGCGCAGAGAUAUGGAGGAACACCAGUGGCGAAGGCGACUUUCUGGUCUGUAACUGACGCUGAUGUGCGAAAGCGUGGGGAUCAAACAGGAUUAGAUACCCUGGUAGUCCACGCCGUAAACGAUGAGUGCUAAGUGUUAGGGGGUUUCCGCCCCUUAGUGCUGCAGCUAACGCAUUAAGCACUCCGCCUGGGGAGUACGACCGCAAGGUUGAAACUCAAAGGAAUUGACGGGGACCCGCACAAGCGGUGGAGCAUGUGGUUUAAUUCGAAGCAACGCGAAGAACCUUACCAAAUCUUGACAUCCUUUGACAACUCUAGAGAUAGAGCCUUCCCCUUCGGGGGACAAAGUGACAGGUGGUGCAUGGUUGUCGUCAGCUCGUGUCGUGAGAUGUUGGGUUAAGUCCCGCAACGAGCGCAACCCUUAAGCUUAGUUGCCAUCAUUAAGUUGGGCACUCUAAGUUGACUGCCGGUGACAAACCGGAGGAAGGUGGGGAUGACGUCAAAUCAUCAUGCCCCUUAUGAUUUGGGCUACACACGUGCUACAAUGGACAAUACAAAGGGCAGCGAAACCGCGAGGUCAAGCAAAUCCCAUAAAGUUGUUCUCAGUUCGGAUUGUAGUCUGCAACUCGACUACAUGAAGCUGGAAUCGCUAGUAAUCGUAGAUCAGCAUGCUACGGUGAAUACGUUCCCGGGUCUUGUACACACCGCCCGUCACACCACGAGAGUUUGUAACACCCGAAGCCGGUGGAGUAACCUUUUAGGAGCUAGCCGUCGAAGGUGGGACAAAUGAUUGGGGUGAAGUCGUAACAAGGUAGCCGUAUCGGAAGGUGCGGCUGGAUCACCUCCUUUCUAAGGA